rnacentral:rRNA from 1 species
GUAUUCCGCUAAAUAGCGUAUAUUAAAGUUGUUGCAGUUAAAAAGCUCGUAGUUGAAUUUCGGGGUCAGUAGGUUGGUCGUGCCACUGGUACGUACUGGUCUCACUGAUUCCUCCUUCCUGAUGAACCGUAAUGCCAUUAAUUUGGUGUUGCGGGGAAACUGGACUGCUACUUUGAAAAAAUUAGAGUGUUUAAAGCAGGCUAACGCUUGAAUACAUUAGCAUGGAAUAAUGAAAUAGGACGUUCGAUCCUAUUUUGUUGGUUUCUAGGAUUGACGUAAUGAUUAAUAGGGAUAGUUGGGGGCAUUAGUAUUCAAUUGUCAGAGGUGAAAUUCUUGGAUUUAUUGAAGACUAACUACUGCGAAAGCAUUUGCCAAGGAUGUUUUCAUUAAUCAAGAACGAAAGUUAGGGGAUCGAAGACGAUCAGAUACCGUCGUAGUCUUAACCAUAAACUAUGCCGACUAGGGAUCGGAUGAUGUUAUUUUUAAUGACUCAUUCGGCGCCUUACGGGAAACA